AGAGUUUGAUCCUGGCUCAGGAUUAACGCUGGCGGCGUGCCUAACACAUGCAAGUCGAACGAGGUAGCAAUACCUAGUGGCAGACGGGUGAGUAACGCGUGGUCAACCUACCGUUGAGUGGGGGAUAACUAGCCGAAAGGUUAGCUAAUACCGCAUACGUGGUCGAGGGGCAUCCCUUGGCUAUAAAAGGAGCAAUCCGC
rnacentral:rRNA from 1 species